rnacentral:lncRNA from 10 species
CCCAAAGGAAUGUUCAGCUCUGUGAGUUAAACGCAAUCAUCACAAAGUAUUUUCUGAGAAUGCUUCUGUCCAGUUUUUACAUGAAGCUGUUUCCUUUACUACCGUAGGCCUCAAAGCGUUACAAAUCUCCACUUGCAGAUACUACGAAAAGAGCGUUUCAACCUGAACUCACAAGGGAAGGUUCAACUCUGUCAGUUGAAUGCCAACAUCACAAAGAAGUUCUGGGAAUGUUUCUCUUCAGUUAUGUGAGGUUUAUCCCGUUUCCAAAGAAA